rnacentral:rRNA from 1 species
CCUACGGGAGACUGCAGUGGGGGAUAUUGCACAAUGGGGGGAACCCUGAUGCAGCGACGCCGCGUGGGUGAAGGAGCGUUUCGGCGCGUAAAGCCCUAUCGGCAGGGAAGAAGGCGGCCGGUACCUGACUACGAAGCCCCGGCUAACUACGUGCCAGCAGCCGCGGUAAUUCGUAGGGGGCAAGCGUUAUCCGGAUUUACUGGGUGUAAGGGGGGCGGAGAGGGCAGCGCAAGGCAGGAGUGAAAGCCCGGGGCCCAACCCCGGGACUGCUCUUGGAACUGCGCGGCUGGAGUGCAGGAGGGGCAGGCGGAAUGCCUGGUGUAGCGGUGAAAUGCGUAGAUAUCAGGAGGAACACCGGUGGCGAAGGCGGCCUGCUGGACUGCGACUGACGUUGAGGCCCGAAAGCGUGGGGAGCGAACAGGAUUAGAUACCCCUGUAGUC